rnacentral:rRNA from 1 species
AUUGAACGCUGGCGGCAGGCCUAACACAUGCAAGUCGAGCGGAUGACGGGAGCUUGCUCCUUGAUUCAGCGGCGGACGGGUGAGUAAUGCCUAGGAAUCUGCCUGGUAGUGGGGGGCAACGUUUCGAAAGGAACGCUAAUACCGCAUACGUCCUACGGGAGAAAGCAGGGGACCUUCAGGCCUUGCGCUAUCAGAUGAGCCUAGGUCGGAUUAGCUAGUUGGUGGGGUAAUGGCUCACCAAGGCGACGAUCCGUAACUGGUCUGAGAGGAUGAUCAGUCACACUGGAACUGAGACACGGUCCAGACUCCUACGGGAGGCAGCAGUGGGGAAUAUUGGACAAUGGGCGAAAGCCUGAUCCAGCCAUGCCGCGUGUGUGAAGAAGGUCUUCGGAUUGUAAAGCACUUUAAGUUGGGAGGAAGGGCAGUAAGCUAAUACCUUGCUGUUUUGACGUUACCGACAGAAUAAGCACCGGCUAACUCUGUGCCAGCAGCCGCGGUAAUACAGAGGGUGCAAGCGUUAAUCGGAAUUACUGGGCGUAAAGCGCGCGUAGGUGGUUUGUUAAGUUGGAUGUGAAAGCCCCGGGCUCAACCUGGGAACUGCAUCCAAAACUGGCAAGCUAGAGUACGGUAGAGGGUGGUGGAAUUUCCUGUGUAGCGGUGAAAUGCGUAGAUAUAGGAAGGAACACCAGUGGCGAAGGCGACCACCUGGACUGAUACUGACACUGAGGUGCGAAAGCGUGGGGAGCAAA